GCAUGAAGCCGGAAUUGCUAGUAAUCGCGGAUCAGAAUGCCGCGGUGAAUACGUUCCCGGGUCUUGUACACACCGCCCGUCACACCAUGGGAGUCGGGAAUGCCCGAAGCCGGCGGCCUAACCUUAUAGGAGGGAGCCGUCGAAGGCAGGCCCGGUGACUGGGGUGAAGUCGUAACAAGGUACC
rnacentral:rRNA from 1 species